rnacentral:rRNA from 1 species
GACGAACGCUGGCGGCGUGCUUAACACAUGCAAGUCGAACGGAAAGGCCCUGGCUUUGUGGGGUGCUCGAGUGGCGAACGGGUGAGUAACACGUGAGUAACCUGCCCUUGACUUUGGGAUAACCUCAGGAAACUGGGGCUAAUACCGGAUAGGAGCACCUGCCGCAUGGUGGGGGUUGGAAAGGUUGGGCGGUUGGGGAUGGACUCGCGGCUUAUCAGCUUGUUGGUGGGGUAGUGGCUUACCAAGGCUUUGACGGGUAGCCGGCCUGAGAGGGUGACCGGCCACAUUGGGACUGAGAUACGGCCCAGACUCCUACGGGAGGCAGCAGUGGGGAAUAUUGCACAAUGGGCGGAAGCCUGAUGCAGCGACGCCGCGUGCGGGAUGACGGCCUUCGGGUUGUAAACCGCUUUCGCCUGUGACGAAGCGUGAGUGACGGUAAUGGGUAAAGAAGCACCGGCUAACUACGUG